AUUGAACGCUGGCGGCAGGCCUAACACAUGCAAGUCGAACGAGUGGCGGACGGGUUGGUUAUGUCUGGGAAACUGCCCGAUGGAGGGGGAUACCUACUGGAAACGGUUGCUACUACCGCAUACCUUCGGAUGUGCCCAGAUGGGAUUAGCGAGUAGGUGGGGUCACGGCUGACCUAGGCGACGAUCCCUAGCUGGUCUGAGAGGAUGACCAGCCACACUGGAACUGAGACACGGUCCAGACUCCUACGGUAGGCAGCAGUGGGGAAUAUUGCACAAGGGGCGAAAGCCUGAUGCAGCCAUGCCGCGUGUGUGAAGAAGGCCUUCGGGUUGUAAAGUACUUUAAGCUAGGAGGCGUUACUCGCAGAAGAAGCACCGGCUAACUCCGUGCCAGCCGCCGCGGUAAUAC
rnacentral:rRNA from 1 species